rnacentral:rRNA from 1 species
UAACACGUAGGAGGCGAACGUUAUCCGGAUUUACUGGGCGUAAAGCGCGUGUAGGUGGUUUUGUAAGUAGGGCGUGAAAGCUCCCGGCUCAACUGGGAGAGGCCGUUCUAAACUACAGAGCUAGAGGAUGGUAGAGGGAGGUGGAAUUCCAGGUGUAGCGGUGGAAUGCGCAGAUAUCUGGAGGAACACCAGUGGCGAAGGCGGCCUCCUGGACCAUUCCUGACACUCAGACGCGAAAGCUAGGGUAGCAAACGGGAUUAGAGACCCCGGUAGUCCUAGCCCUAAACGAUGUAGACUAGACGUCGGCGGUGUAAUAACUGUCGGUGUCCAAGCUAACGCGAUAAGUCUACCGCCUGGGGACUACGGCCGCAAGGUUAAAACUCAAAGGAAUUGACGGGUCCCCGCACAAGCAGCGGAGCGUGUGGUUUAAUUCGUUGCUACGCGAAAAACCUUACCUGGGUUUGACAUAGCAGUGGUAGGGAAGAGAAAUCGGACCGACCCUUCGGGGAGCUGUUACAGGUGUUGCAUGGCUGUCGUCAGCUCGUGUCGUGAGAUGUUCGGUUAAGUCCGCUAACGAGCGCAACCCGCGUUGUGUGUUAUACGUGUCACACAAUACCGCCGGUAUUAAGUCGGAGGAAGGUGCGGAUGACGUCAAGUCAGCAUGACCUUUAUAUCCAGGGCUACACACACGCUACAAUGGCCAGCACAACAGGUUGCCAAGCCGCGAGGCGGAGCCAAUCCUCCAAAGCUGGUCUCAGUUCAGAUUGUAGGCUGCAACUCGCCUGCAUGAAGUUGGAGUUGCUAGUAACCGCAGGUCAGAACUACUGCGGUGAAUACGUUCCCGGGGAUUGUACACACCGCCCGUCAAGUCAUGGAAGCUGGCAACACCUGAAGCCGGUAUCCUAACCCGCAAGGGAGGGAGCUGUCAAAGGUGGGGUCGGUGACUGGGACU